AUCCAAUUCAUUCCACAGUCAGAAGUUUCCUGCAUAUCCAUUUCAGUGAAAGUGAAAGAAGUAACAUUUCUUUUGAGGCACGUUAAUUGAGACAUCAGAUGGAAGGCAAGAUAUAUUUUAAUCACUGGAAUGAUCUCCAUGCUUUGGGAAUAAGAAGAUGGAACACAAUUUAUAAGUAGCUCUUUAAAUUUUGGAAAUAAUUCUGUGGAAGUUUCUGUUCCUUUACUAACAAAAAGGAGGCUAAAGAACAAAAUUUCCUAGACCUUUAUCAGAGGCAAUCCUGUCUGAAAAGCAAAACACAGCAGAAUGGUACCAGAGUUUGCUAUUUACCUGCAAGUGUUUCCCUGAAAAAUAAUUACUGUUUGAAAC
rnacentral:lncRNA from 1 species